GGGUUGUGAGGUUAAGCGACUAAGCGUACACGGUGGAUGCCCUGGCAGUCAGAGGCGAUGAAGGACGUGCUAAUCUGCGAUAAGCGUCGGUAAGGUGAUAUGAACCGUUAUAACCGGCGAUUUCCGAAUGGGGAAACCCAGUGUGUUUCGACACACUAUCAUUAACUGAAUCCAUAGGUUAAUGAGGCGAACCGGGGGAACUGAAACAUCUAAGUACCCCGAGGAAAAGAAAUCAACCGAGAUUCCCCCAGUAGCGGCGAGCGAACGGGGAGCAGCCCAGAGCCUGAAUCAGUGUGUGUGUUAGUGGAAGCGUCUGGAAAGGCGCGCGAUACAGGGUGACAGCCCCGUACACAAAAAUGCACAUAUUGUGAGCUCGAUGAGUAGGGCGGGACACGUGGUAUCCUGUCUGAAUAUGGGGGGACCAUCCUCCAAGGCUAAAUACUCCUGACUGACCGAUAGUGAACCAGUACCGUGAGGGAAAGGCGAAAAGAACCCCGGCGAGGGGAGUGAAAAAGAACCUGAAACCGUGUACGUACAAGCAGUGGGAGCCUCUUUUAUGGGGUGACUGCGUACCUUUUGUAUAAUGGGUCAGCGACUUAUAUUCUGUAGCAAGGUUAACCGAAUAGGGGAGCCGAAGGGAAACCGAGUCUUAACUGGGCGUUAAGUUGCAGGGUAUAGACCCGAAACCCGGUGAUCUAGCCAUGGGCAGGUUGAAGGUUGGGUAACACUAACUGGAGGACCGAACCGACUAAUGUUGAAAAAUUAGCGGAUGACUUGUGGCUGGGGGUGAAAGGCCAAUCAAACCGGGAGAUAGCUGGUUCUCCCCGAAAGCUAUUUAGGUAGCGCCUCGUGAAUUCAUCUCCGGGGGUAGAGCACUGUUUCGGCAAGGGGGUCAUCCCGACUUACCAACCCGAUGCAAACUGCGAAUACCGGAGAAUGUUAUCACGGGAGACACACGGCGGGUGCUAACGUCCGUCGUGAAGAGGGAAACAACCCAGACCGCCAGCUAAGGUCCCAAAGUCAUGGUUAAGUGGGAAACGAUGUGGGAAGGCCCAGACAGCCAGGAUGUUGGCUUAGAAGCAGCCAUCAUUUAAAGAAAGCGUAAUAGCUCACUGGUCGAGUCGGCCUGCGCGGAAGAUGUAACGGGGCUAAACCAUGCACCGAAGCUGCGGCAGCGACGCUGAUGCGUUGUUGGGUAGGGGAGCGUUCUGUAAGCCUGUGAAGGUGUACUGUGAGGUAUGCUGGAGGUAUCAGAAGUGCGAAUGCUGACAUAAGUAACGAUAAAGCGGGUGAAAAGCCCGCUCGCCGGAAGACCAAGGGUUCCUGUCCAACGUUAAUCGGGGCAGGGUGAGUCGACCCCUAAGGCGAGGCCGAAAGGCGUAGUCGAUGGGAAACAGGUUAAUAUUCCUGUACUUGGUGUUACUGCGAAGGGGGGACGGAGAAGGCUAUGUUGGCCGGGCGACGGUUGUCCCGGUUUAAGCGUGUAGGCUGGUUUUCCAGGCAAAUCCGGAAAAUCAAGGCUGAGGCGUGAUGACGAGGCACUACGGUGCUGAAGCAACAAAUGCCCUGCUUCCAGGAAAAGCCUCUAAGCAUCAGGUAACAUUGAAUCGUACCCCAAACCGACACAGGUGGUCAGGUAGAGAAUACCAAGGCGCUUGAGAGAACUCGGGUGAAGGAACUAGGCAAAAUGGUGCCGUAACUUCGGGAGAAGGCACGCUGAUAUGUAGGUGAAGUCCCUCGCGGAUGGAGCUGAAAUCAGUCGAAGAUACCAGCUGGCUGCAACUGUUUAUUAAAAACACAGCACUGUGCAAACACGAAAGUGGACGUAUACGGUGUGACGCCUGCCCGGUGCCGGAAGGUUAAUUGAUGGGGUCAGCGCAAGCGAAGCUCUUGAUCGAAGCCCCGGUAAACGGCGGCCGUAACUAUAACGGUCCUAAGGUAGCGAAAUUCCUUGUCGGGUAAGUUCCGACCUGCACGAAUGGCGUAAUGAUGGCCAGGCUGUCUCCACCCGAGACUCAGUGAAAUUGAACUCGCUGUGAAGAUGCAGUGUACCCGCGGCAAGACGGAAAGACCCCGUGAACCUUUACUAUAGCUUGACACUGAACAUUGAGCCUUGAUGUGUAGGAUAGGUGGGAGGCUUUGAAGUGUGGACGCCAGUCUGCAUGGAGCCGACCUUGAAAUACCACCCUUUAAUGUUUGAUGUUCUAACGUUGACCCGUGAUCCGGGUUGCGGACAGUGUCUGGUGGGUAGUUUGACUGGGGCGGUCUCCUCCUAAAGAGUAACGGAGGAGCACGAAGGUUGGCUAAUCCUGGUCGGACAUCAGGAGGUUAGUGCAAUGGCAUAAGCCAGCUUGACUGCGAGCGUGACGGCGCGAGCAGGUGCGAAAGCAGGUCAUAGUGAUCCGGUGGUUCUGAAUGGAAGGGCCAUCGCUCAACGGAUAAAAGGUACUCCGGGGAUAACAGGCUGAUACCGCCCAAGAGUUCAUAUCGACGGCGGUGUUUGGCACCUCGAUGUCGGCUCAUCACAUCCUGGGGCUGAAGUAGGUCCCAAGGGUAUGGCUGUUCGCCAUUUAAAGUGGUACGCGAGCUGGGUUUAGAACGUCGUGAGACAGUUCGGUCCCUAUCUGCCGUGGGCGCUGGAGAACUGAGGGGGGCUGCUCCUAGUACGAGAGGACCGGAGUGGACGCAUCACUGGUGUUCGGGUUGUCAUGCCAAUGGCACUGCCCGGUAGCUAAAUGCGGAAGAGAUAAGUGCUGAAAGCAUCUAAGCACGAAACUUGCCCCGAGAUGAGUUCUCCCUGACCCUUUAAGGGUCCUGAAGGAACGUUGAAGACGACGACGUUGAUAGGCCGGGUGUGUAAGCGCAGCGAUGCGUUGAGCUAACCGGUACUAAUGAACCGUGAGGCUUAACCUUACAACGCCGAAGCUGUU
rnacentral:rRNA from 1 species